UCACGCGGUGAUGGCGCAGGAAGCUCGGAGCGGCGGCUGGAACGGCAGGGCGGGCUCGGCCGGGCGGCCAGCAAGAGGCAGCAGAAACUGGCCCCUUGUGCCAGGAGCCGCGGGCUGUCCCGGCAGGCGGGCAGUGUGCGGCUACAGCGUAGCAAAAACCCGGAGCAGUGGCAGCGAGACGGCGGGCCCGGGCAGCCGCGGCCUGGCUCCCGAACACGGCCGGGAGAGACUCCCCUGGAGGAGGAAGGGGCCCGGGAUCCAGGGCUUUCCCUUGAGACAGCCGAGCAGACGGUGAAGGGUCCUUUUUAACUGAGGUCUGGUGUUGAUAAGGCUCCAGUGCAACAGCCGCUGCCUCAAGCACAGCUUGGCUCCGGGGAGGAGAAGGCAGCAGGAGACGGAGCCUCGCAGCGCUGGCGAACUCUCCCCACAGUGACCGCAGCCGGCUUCCCCUCCGACACCGAGAGAGCGAGAGCGGGGAGCUGCACCCAAUCCACUUCCCCCAGCCAAACCUCGGCUGUCUCUGCCCCUCAGAUAAGACAAGUGCAGCCAGGUACACUCCUCCUCCUUGAGAGGUGCACCUUUUCUCUCUCCUAAGAACUGGUCGUUAUUGUCUCUUAGCAACAAAUGGGACAAAAUUCCAUUAUAGAAAGAACCAAAAGGAAAAGACCUAACCCCUAACAAAUACUGUUGCAAUCCGCUCCCGGGGGACCCCUCUGUGCUACCCCCGCGGUGAGAGUCCUGCUCUUCACGGAACACGGGCUGGGGAGAGGUCCUGGAGUGGAUAGAACACGGACUAAACGUAUCUAGACACAGGAGGCCCAAACUUGCUUGGAAUAAUCCCGGGUUUAUUGCAUGUCGUCCAUCCGGGGCAAGAAAGAGACCAAAAUGCCCUGGGUCUUAUCUCUUAUACUAAGGGGCGGGGGUGAUCGGGAGAUACAGGGAAGUUACGGCCAAUGGGACAGGGGAGAAGGAAAAGGUUCUCAGGUAGGAACUAACAUUACACAGACCGAAGGUGACUUUUACCCUUGGGAUAUACCGUGAUUUUUUGAUGCGCUACAACAAAACCAAGGCAAAUGUCUGGGUAAAGUACAGGCCCCAGGAAACUGGGCUGCAAGGUUGAAAUCCAGUCAGUAUUUCAAGAGACUUGGAAAGGAGUGGGCAGCUGAGAUGUGUUAGGGCCCAAGUUUGAGGUGGUAGCAAGGCCAUGGUGGGGGAAGCCCCCCUGUAAUGUCCCUGACUCAUCCCUGGUAAUUGCAAACAGGUGACACCCAUAGGGAAUUUCAGCAGGUGAGCAUUGCAGCACCUGGAACUCGUAACGAGGUAACGGACCAGGCUGACCAGAAGCAAGGAGGAAUUAGGGGAACUGUUCUGAUGUGUUGCUUCAGAAGAGAGGAACCUCUGCAAAAGCCUCAGAAGAAGUAUGGAUGUUUGAUCAUUUGAACAAGAACGGCUCAGGAACUGAAGAGUUAUAUCUGACACCAGAGUCCAUCAGACAAAGUCCUUACAAACACAGGAGUCCUGAAGACAUCGGCUGAAUGUUUUCCUGGUAUAAAGAAGAAGAGGAGGAGGAGGUGGUGACAGUGCAGGCGCAGUGGGUUUGGACAGGGGCAGAGGGCACG